rnacentral:rRNA from 1 species
AACGAACGCUGGCGGCAGGCUUAACACAUGCAAGUCGAACGCAUGCCUUCGGGCAUGCGUGGCAGACGGGUGAGUAACGCGUGGGAACCUACCCCUUGGUACGGGAUAGCUCCGGGAAACUGGAGAUAAUACCGUAUGUGUCCUGAGGGACAAAGAUUCAUCGCCAAGGGAUGGGCCCGCGUCGGAUUAGCUAGUUGGUGGGGUAACGGCCUACCAAGGCGACGAUCCGUAGCUGGUCUAAGAGGAUGAUCAGCCACAUUGGGACUGAGACACGGCCCAAACUCCUACGGGAGGCAGCAGUGGGGAAGAUUGGACAAUGGGCGCAAGCCUGAUCCAGCCAGGCCGCGUGAGUGAUGAAGGCCCUAGGGUUGUAAAGCUCUUUCACCGGUGACGAUAAUGACGGUAACCGGAGAAGAAGCCCCGGCUAACUUCGU